GAGUUUGAUUAUGGCUCAGGAUGAACGCUAGCGACAGGCCUAACACAUGCAAGUCGAGGGGCAGCGCGGAGUAGCAAUACUUGGCGGCGACCGGCGCACGGGUGAGUAACACGUAUGCAACCAACCCAUAACAGGGGGAUAACCCGGAGAAAUCCGGACUAAUACCGCAUAAGGCCACGAUAUCGCAUGAUAUAGAGGUCAAAUAUUUAUAGGUUAUGGACGGGCAUGCGUCUGAUUAGCUGGUGGCGGGUAACGGCCCACCAAGGCAUCGAUCAGUAGGGGUUCUGAGAGGAAGGUCCCCCACAUUGGAACUGAGACACGGUCCAAACUCCUACGGGAGGCAGCAGUGAGGAAUAUUGGUCAAUGGGCGAAAGCCUGGACCAGCCAUGUCGCGUGAAGGAAUGAAGGUCCUAUGGAUUGUAAACUUCUUUGCAGGAGGGUAAAGUGAGCUACGUGUAGUUCAUUGCAAGUACCCUGCGAAUAAGCAUCGGCUAACUCCGUGCCAGCAGCCGC
rnacentral:rRNA from 1 species